rnacentral:rRNA from 1 species
AUGAACCGUACUAAGGGCCCCAUCUUUGGAGGCAUCUAUGCCACACGCCUAGCUGCACAUUUUAACAUACCUAUUAGGCAUGCUGAGAAGGAAGAAAAGGUGUUGCCCCGUGUUUAUCUAGAUCAUAAAAGUAUGGUGGCACAUGAUUUUAUUGUUAAGAAUAGGGCAGGGGAGCUUAAAUAUCAAUUGUUCUUUAAUAAACAUCAUCCUAAGACUAUUACCUUGCCUGCUCCUUCUUUGUUUGAUUUGACUGCAGGCACGUACCUUGUUUCAUUGACGGCUAUUCACGCCCACCGGAACCCUGCACCAGUCGAGGAGCCAGAACAGGAACCACAAGAUGAGCCUCCACGACAAUCUGUUUAUUCUUGGGAUCCAGAGAUGACUGUCAGCCAGUGGCAGUCAGAGUCUUCUUCUUCAUCACAGUACGACCCCAACAACUAUUAUUAUGGAUAUCCGCCAGGCCAGCUGUGGCCAUAG